rnacentral:misc_RNA from 1 species
UUGAUUGCGAAUCGUUGCCUUCUGUGCUGGCCAGUCCUGGCAAGUGCACGUCGGUGACUUUCAUCCAAUACCCUGUGAACCUUUGGCCUCUGCUAGCUUCGGUCGGCAGAGGAAUUUUACACAAACUCGAAUGUAAUGAAAUUUAUUGUUGUGCGCAAGCACUAAUGUA